rnacentral:lncRNA from 1 species
CAAACGACGGCAAUGUUGCCAGAUUCCUUUUAGCGGGAAUUUUAAAAUUUUAUAAGAGUUUGGUUUUAAAUUUGACAGUUCUGUUUUCUCAAGUCAAAAAUCUUAACCUUACUUUUACAAGUGAUUAGGAUUAUUAUUAUUAUUUUAUUUACAUGUAAAUUGAAACAAUAAAUAUUGUGGCUGUGUCAUAAUUUCAAACUCAUUAUGUUGCAGUCUUUUCCAGUUGAUAAAAUUGCAAUUCAAAAACUUUUAGAUUUGCACUGUAUGGAUGGCACAGGAAGAGAAACAAGAGUACAAGAACAUGAAACAUCCUAUUAUAAAUGUAUAUGUAUGUGAUCCUCAAAAAAUUAUUUUACAAAACAAGAUAGAGAAAGAGCUUUAAAAUCCCAAGGAUCCUGCAAAAUGUUUAUUUGGUGUACUAGUCGAAUAAUAGUAUCUAAAAAUAUUGAAACUAUUUUAUGGGCAUGAGGAUGAUAUAGAGCACUUACAUAAAUACCAAAAUCAGAUAAAUAUCUCUUCAAAGUUUAUUUUGAGACUUUCUUCAAAAAUUAAACUUCAGACUGUACAGGAUAGCAUAAUAGCAUAGGAGGCGAAUUAAAAAGAAUUGAUUUACUUACAAGAAAAGAUAUCACAAACAUUAAACUCUCUUAUGGCAUUGAUUUGAAAGAUGGGUAUAUGUACAAUGAUGAUACAACCAGUGUUUAUUUUUGGGUUGAAUGCUUACAGACUCAUGUCCAAUAUUAUUUUACAAACAACAGGGCAUACUAAUGGAUAUUCAUUAUGAAUUUAACAUUUAUGAUUUUUGUCUUAUGUUCCUUAAUACUGUGCCAAAAGUUUGGUAAAUCCUUUAUCGCAAUCGAUGGAACUCAUGGGCUCAAUUCCUAUGACUUUGAACUUAUGACAGUAUUAGUAAAAGAUGAAUUUGGGAAUGGAUUUUGUACUGCUUUCUUAUUUUCAAAUAGAAAAGAUACCUACUUUAAUUUUCCAAUUUUUUUAAAUACAUGUCUGUGUUGGUAUUAUAUGUAAGAAAAGAUACCUACUUUAAUUUACCAAUUUUUUUAAAUACAUGCCUGUGUUGGUAUUAUAUGUAUAGUCAA